CGACGAGUUCUCGUUGAUGAUCGGUGCUUGCACCGAGAUUCAACAUGGAACGAGUGGCGGACGGGUGAGUAACACGUGGGUAACCUGCCCUUAAGUGGGGGAUAACAUUUGGAAACAGAUGCUAAUACCGCAUAGAUCCAAGAACCGCAUGGUUCUUGGCUGAAAGAUGGCGUAAGCUAUCGCUUUUGGAUGGACCCGCGGCGUAUUAGCUAGUUGGUGAGGUGAUGGCUCACCAAGGCGAUGAUACGUAGCCGAACUGAGAGGUUGAUCGGCCACAUUGGGACUGAGACACGGCCCAAACUCCUACGGGAGGCAGCAGUAGGGAAUCUUCCACAAUGGACGCAAGUCUGAUGGAGCAACGCCGCGUGAGUGAAGAAGGCUUUCGGGUCGUAAAACUCUGUUGUUGGAGAAGAAUGGUCGGCAGAGUAACUGUUGUCGGCGUGACGGUAUCCAACCAGAAAGCCACGGCUAACUACGUGCCAGCAGCCGCGGUAAUACGUAGGUGGCAAGCGUUAUCCGGAUUUAUUGGGCGUAAAGCGAGCGCAGGCGGUUUUUUAAGUCUGAUGUGAAAGCCCUCGGCUUAACCGAGGAAGCGCAUCGGAAACUGGGAAACUUGAGUGCAGAAGAGGACAGUGGAACUCCAUGUGUAGCGGUGAAAUGCGUAGAUAUAUGGAAGAACACCAGUGGCGAAGGCGGCUGUCUGGUCUGUAACUGACGCUGAGGCUCGAAAGCAUGGGUAGCGAACAGGAUUAGAUACCCUGGUAGUCCAUGCCGUAUACGAUGAAUGCUA
rnacentral:rRNA from 1 species